rnacentral:lncRNA from 1 species
GACUGUCCCACACGUUGCUGGAAGUUUGCUCUACCUGGAUGCCCAGGCAUGGUGACCAGCCGACCACCCACACGUGUUCCCAGAUGUUUUGGGAGUCACCAUCCACCUUGCACCUCCACAAAGGAAACCACAGAGAUCCCUGAGAGGAGCAGCUCCUUAAGCCGUUAUCAAGCUCCACCUGCGGCUCGCGGGCCUGUUGAUUGUCUCCCACUACACUCAAGUUCCAUGAGGAAAGAACCUCCUCAUACAAAAGUCAAGGGUGGAAGGAAGCCAACAAGAAUAUCGAGAAAGCGGUCAUAUUUACUCUCCUGUUCUCCAUCCUGUUUUCCACCUGGAAGGUUGACCUAUAUGGAGCAUGUGGAUGGAUGCUCAUGA